rnacentral:sRNA from 1 species
CGGUAAUAGACGCCGAAGCUCCUAAAUCUGGAGCGCGGGGGAACCAAGUACCAGGGGCGAAUUCCGGGUAUUCGACACACGGAAGGGGCGCUUCCGACCCCAGCCCGACAGCUAACUCCGCAGGCGCGGCAGGAAGAGGUA